AGAGUUUGAUUCUGGCUCAGAACGAACGCUGGCGGCGUGGAUAAGACAUGCAAGUCGAACGAGAGAAUUGCUAGCUUGCUAAUAAUUCUCUAGUGGCGCACGGGUGAGUAACACGUGAGUAACCUGCCCCCGAGAGCGGGAUAGCCCUGGGAAACUGGGAUUAAUACCGCAUAGUAUCGAAAGAUUAAAGCAGCAAUGCGCUUGGGGAUGGGCUCGCGGCCUAUUAGUUAGUUGGUGAGGUAACGGCUCACCAAGGCGAUGACGGGUAGCCGGUCUGAGAGGAUGUCCGGCCACACUGGAACUGAGACACGGUCCAGACACCUACGGGUGGCAGCAGUCGAGAAUCAUUCACAAUGGGGGAAACCCUGAUGGUGCGACGCCGCGUGGGGGAAUGAAGGUCUUCGGAUUGUAAACCCCUGUCAUGUGGGAGCAAAUUAAAAAGAUAGUACCACAAGAGGAAGAGACGGCUAACUCUGUGCCAGCAGCCGCGGUAAUACAGAGGUCUCAAGCGUUGUUCGGAAUCACUGGGCGUAAAGCGUGCGUAGGCUGUUUCGUAAGUCGUGUGUGAAAGGCGCGGGCUCAACCCGCGGACGGCACAUGAUACUGCGAGACUAGAGUAAUGGAGGGGGAACCGGAAUUCUCGGUGUAGCAGUGAAAUGCGUAGAUAUCGAGAGGAACACUCGUGGCGAAGGCGGGUUCCUGGACAUUAACUGACGCUGAGGCACGAAGGCCAGGGGAGCGAAAGGGAUUAGAUACCCCUGUAGUCCUGGCAGUAAACGGUGCACGCUUGGUGUGCGGGGAAUCGACCCCCUGCGUGCCGGAGCUAACGCGUUAAGCGUGCCGCCUGGGGAGUACGGUCGCAAGAUUAAAACUCAAAGGAAUUGACGGGGACCCGCACAAGCGGU
rnacentral:rRNA from 1 species